GGGCACAUAGCUCAGCUGGUAAAGUGUUUGCCUGGCAUGCAGAUGCUCUAGGUUCUAUUCCCAGCAUUCCCU
rnacentral:tRNA from 1 species